AAAAUGAAUUUGAAAUUCAGUGAUCCGAUAAACACGCCACGAGCAUCAGCUUCUUGGCCACGGAGGCUUGAAAAGCGGCGCGCUCUGAGAAGCUCCUGGGAGCUCUGAGAAUUCAUAAUCAUUUUUGGUGGAGAUGCGAGUCAGCUCUUCC
ensembl:ncRNA C01C10.5 ncRNA